GCGCAGCGCCGCGCGGCAGUAGGCUCGCGAGGGGCAGUAUGGACGGAUGCAGAGGGCCGGCGGCGCAGGCAGGACACAAGUGACGGGAGGGGCGUUAGACGGGCGGUCAGAGCUCGCGAGUCGUUGGUGUGCGACAAGCAAAGUGAUCCAGCGGCAACAACCUCCUCACUUCCCCCCUAAGUGCUUCCAAACAGCUACCCGCCAACACGGAUACGGAUUUCUAUUACUUCUUCACCUCUCGACUUGGAUUUCGUCGCUUAGCGCAUCACUCGUCCAGGAUGAUUCCGCCAGCCGCCUCCGCCGUCAUCCCCGCCAUCAUCGCCCUGCUGCUGGCCGCUAGCGCCUCGGGUGGCCCAGUGACGCGAUCCGGCGACGCGGCGACGGUGGAGGCCGCCGGGUCGGAGCCCCCGCCCCAGGACGCCGGCGAGUGGUUCGAGGACGACUGGGACGUGGCGGGGCCCGGCGGCAGCCCCGGGGUGGAGCGCUACCAGGUCGUGGAGGGUAGCGAGGGCCCGCCUCCCGGCCGGCCCCCAGCUGGUGGCGACGUGACCAGCAACGACGUGGACACCGCCCCCGCAGCGCCGGGCCGGGGCGGCUCCGCGGGCUCCGUGCUGCAGCCGCGCAACCGCACCCACGUCCUGCCCGCCCCCGCGGCGGCGGCGGCGGCCGACAACCGCCUCCGCUCUGGCGACCAGCUCGACGUGGAGACGGCGCGACAGUUCCAGCUCCUGCGCAUCAACUACACCAGCCUGCUCGCCGACCUGGCCGACCUGGCCGAGAUGGACGGCGGCGCCCUGGACAUGCGCGCGGGCCGCGGGUUGCCCAGGAUCGUCGACAAGGCUCUGUGGCUCUUCGACCUCAAGCAGGUCGUACAGGAGAUCGAGACCAGCGUCAUGUCCAAGGUGUCGUGCACGGCGUGCAAGGCAGGCGUUGGUCUGAUUCAGCAUUACUUAAGAGGCGGCAAAAGUAGGGAUGACAUCAAUAAAAUCGUCUAUCAGUUUUGUGUGAGCCUCAAAAUUCAGUCCCCUCGGGUGUGUGAGGGACUCACUGAGCUCUUUGGAGGAGAGGUGGUCCAUGUAUUGAAACGCGUUUCUCUGGGUCCGGAAGAAGUCUGUUCAUUUGUUAUUGGAGAUGCUUGUGGUGAUGUUUACAACCCAUUCCAUGAGUGGAAAGUGGUUUUCCCUCCUGUCUCAAAGCCAGAAGUUCUAGAGCCCAAAGUUCCAACGGAAGGAGCCCCAUCAUUCAAAGUUCUGCAUUUGUCAGACACACAUUUUGAUCCAUACUACCAAGAAGGAACUAAUGCUGACUGCAAUGAGCCACUUUGUUGUCGUUUGACAAAUGGCCCAGCAUUAUCAAGCUCAACUGCCGCUGGGCGCUGGGGGGAUUACAGAAAAUGUGAUACACCUAAAAGAACAGUUGAUAACAUGCUUCAGCACAUAGCCAGCACCCACCCAGAUAUAGACUAUAUAAUCUGGACUGGUGAUCUUCCCCCACAUGAUGUGUGGAAUCAAACUAGAGAAGAAAAUUUAUCAAUCCUGAAAGAAACAGUUGCUCAAAUGGCGCAACUGUUUCCAGGUAUACCCAUUUUUCCUGCUCUAGGAAACCAUGAAGCUGCUCCAGUGAACAGUUUCCCCCCGCCUUUUGUGCAAAAUGAUUAUUCAAUCAAUUGGCUUUAUGAUGAGCUUGAUGCCCAGUGGAGGCAGUGGCUACCAUCAAGUGUAUCACGCACUGUGAGAAGAGGUGCUUUUUACAGUGUCCUUGUUCGACCUGGUUUCAGAAUUAUAUCUCUCAAUAUGAAUUAUUGCAAUAACAAAAAUUGGUGGCUCCUGUUGAACAGCACAGAUCCAGCAAAAGAAUUGCAAUGGUUUAUCUAUGAACUACAAAGUGCUGAGUUCAACGAGGAAAAAGUCCAUGUAAUCGGUCAUAUUCCACCAGGCCACUCCGACUGUCUCAAAGUAUGGAGUAGAAACUUCUAUCGUAUAAUUAAUAGGUACGAGAGCACAAUUGUGUCUCUGUUUUUUGGUCACACUCAUUAUGAUGAGUUUGAAUUGUUUUAUGAUACUGAAGAUCUAGGGCGAGCAGUUGGUGUUGCUUACAUCGGGCCAUCUGUCACACCCUAUUAUGAUCUUAAUCCGGGAUAUAGAAUUUAUUAUGUUGAUGGUGAUCAUAAGGAUACUACUAGGGCAGUUGUAGACCAUGAAACAUGGGUCAUGAACCUUAAGGAUGCUAAUGUUUACGAUUAUCCACUUUGGUACAAAGAAUACUCUGUUAGAGAAACUUAUGAGAUGCCAUCCCUUCUUCCUCAAGAAUGGGACACAUUAAUCAACAAGAUUGCACAAGAUGGGCCUCUCUUUGAUACAUAUUACAGGCAUUACUGGAAAAAUUCACCUGUCAGACCACCAUGUGAUGGGGAAUGCAAAAAGAGAAUGAUAUGUGAUAUGAGAUCAGGAAAGUCACAUGAUCGCAAAUUCUUGUGUCAGGAAAUUGAGAGUCGUAUUGAUGCAAAUACCAGAACAGGAUGGCGAGCAUGGAUAUACAAUGGACUGGCACUGUCGUAUGUUUCAUUUUAUUGGAUUGCGCAUGUUUUAUUUAACAGCAUAGGACUACUGCUUUUUUAGACUGAUAAUGAGUUUUGGAUUAAGACGCACCAUAAAAUACAACAUACUCUACAAGGGGAAAAAAGGGAUAAAUUAGCCUAAAAUGCUAUUUGUAAGGCACUCAUUCUUGAAUUUCUGCAUUUGAAACUCUGGGUUGAACAAACUUGGCACAAGCACAAAUAAGCAUGAGUAGACAAGAGGGUCAGUUCUGAAGGGUGAUUGUAUUAUUCUAGAUGGUGAUGGUUUGCAUUCUGUAACGGUGAUGGUUUACCUUAAAAUUAUUAUAGUGGUGAAGGAUUUUCAUUGGAAGUAUUCUGGGAUGUCAAUGAUCAUGGCAAUCCCAUCUUUCACAUAUCAAAUACCAAAAUAUGUAUUUGGCCUGGGUUAAUAAGUGCAACUAGAAGCUGGUACAAAAAAAAAUAUUCAUCUGGCAGUGUCUAAUGGCCAGAUAAAAAUCUGUGAAUAUUCUACGGGAGAAGCAAGUUAAAAAAAAGGCCAAACCCUGCAAAGGGAAUAAAGAAAAUGAUUGCCUCAACCAGUGAAACAUUAAUAGUGCUUCAAGAAUAUUUAGAAGUAUUAACCAAUUCUAUGGAGUAAAUGGUUUUGUAUUGAUGCACAACAAAUAAAACUGCAAAACAUGCUGCAUGUGCCAUGUUCUAUCAUUGCAAGGUUGUGCCACAAACCAGACUAAUGACCCUUGCGUAGUCUUCGGGAAGGAAGCAUGUUUCAUAAAAAAGACGUUUGAAAUAAAUGUUUCCAAGACAAUAAUUAAAGACUUGAAAGGAGGAAUCAUAAGUGUAAACAAAGGCUGUGAUGAUUGAUUCAUUUUAUAUGUUGUUAGAAAACAAUGUUUACACAAGAUUUAUCUGAAGAGAUGUUCUACUGAACAAUCAAUGGGGUUAUCUGAAAACUCCAAAACAAGAUUUUGUGGUUGUAUAACAAAAUUUAAUAAUUGCAGUUGAUGCUAACGCAAAGCGUGUGAUGUCUCUCUAAUUCUCCACAACAUUGCUCAAUCAAAAUCUGUACAUAUUGUUUAUUAUUUUCCCAGAGAAAAGAACUGUUGUAAUGUUAAAAUAAUAUGAAUUAUGUUUGUGUUCCCCUGAUGGGUGAUUGUAUGUUUUGGUAUGGGACUGUUUCCACCAAAAGUAAAAUCUUUAAAAAAAGAAAAACAAACAAACCUCUUAGAAAAUUAUUUAAAGCCAAAAUUGCUUUCAGCUUAUGGUAUAAUAAUCAUUGUCAUCCUCAGAUAAUUUUUGUAGAACAGCUAUUAAAUAGAAUAUCUGAUCAUAUUAGAAAAUAAUCUUGAACUAUUAUCCAGUGAUCAUUUUGAUAGUAUCUGUAAUAUCUUUAAAAAGACUUUGGACUGUGCACAAUGUUCCAACUACGUAAUAGGAAUUAAUACAGAAGGAUGAUGUAUUGUACCUUAUUAUCUUAUACAUUUUAUCUAUGUAGCAGUUAACUUUCUCUUCAUGAUCUGUCUUUGCUCUUUUGACUGUAUUUUCAUUAAGUCAAUAGGUAUCAAAGCAAACCUCAGGGACAUAAGAAAACUUGAUUAUGUUAAAACAUGACCAAAUCAAUUAUAAUUUUACUUCUGCAUAUUCCAGAAAUCAUCAAGUGUUCUGUUUAGUGCAAUGCUAUUAUUUAUAUUAGUUCGUAGUAAGAUUUUAAGUCAGCAUUGUUUAGAGUCAACACCUAGCAUAUUUCUAGGUGUCAAUCUAUGUUGCCCACUGGACGAAGGUAGAAUAAAACCAAGAUAUUGGUACAUUGCAUUAUGAGUAGUGAUAGGCUUAUGGUUAAAAUAACUUCAGAUAAGUUAUUUAACAGUGAGGACUUUAGUCAAUGUGAUAAAAUUAAUUUGGAUCAAGUAUGAAAUAUUAGAACUGUUAACAAGGACCAAAAUACACUAUUUGGGAAGGAGUA